GAUGAACGCUGGCGGCGUGCCUAAUACAUGCAAGUCGAGCGAACGGACGAGAAGCUUGCUUCUCUGAUGUUAGCGGCGGACGGGUGAGUAACACGUGGAUAACCUACCUAUAAGACUGGGAUAACUUCGGGAAACCGGAGCUAAUACCGGAUAAUAUUUUGAACCGCAUGGUUCAAAAGUAAAAGACGGUCUUGCUGUCACUUAUAGAUGGAUCCGCGCUGCAUUAGCUAGUUGGUAAGGUAACGGCUUACCAAGGCAACGAUGCAUAGCCGACCUGAGAGGGUGAUCGGCCACACUGGAACUGAGACACGGUCCAGACUCCUACGGGAGGCAGCAGUAGGGAAUCUUCCGCAAUGGGCGAAAGCCUGACGGAGCAACGCCGCGUGAGUGAUGAAGGUCUUCGGAUCGUAAAACUCUGUUAUUAGGGAAGAACAUAUGUGUAAGUAACUGUGCACAUCUUGACGGUACCUAAUCAGAAAGCCACGGCUAACUACGUGCCAGCAGCCGCGGUAAUACGUAGGUGGCAAGCGUUAUCCGGAAUUAUUGGGCGUAAAGCGCGCGUAGGCGGUUUUUUAAGUCUGAUGUGAAAGCCCACGGCUCAACCGUGGAGGGUCAUUGGAAACUGGAAAACUUGAGUGCAGAAGAGGAAAGUGGAAUUCCAUGUGUAGCGGUGAAAUGCGCAGAGAUAUGGAGGAACACCAGUGGCGAAGGCGACUUUCUGGUCUGUAACUGACGCUGAUGUGCGAAAGCGUGGGGAUCAAACAGGAUUAGAUACCCUGGUAGUCCACGCCGUAAACGAUGAGUGCUAAGUGUUAGGGGGUUUCCGCCCCUUAGUGCUGCAGCUAACGCAUUAAGCACUCCGCCUGGGGAGUACGACCGCAAGGUUGAAACUCAAAGGAAUUGACGGGGACCCGCACAAGCGGUGGAGCAUGUGGUUUAAUUCGAAGCAACGCGAAGAACCUUACCAAAUCUUGACAUCCUUUGACAACUCUAGAGAUAGAGCCUUCCUCUUCGGGGGACAAAGUGACAGGUGGUGCAUGGUUGUCGUCAGCUCGUGUCGUGAGAUGUUGGGUUAAGUCCCGCAACGAGCGCAACCCUUAAGCUUAGUUGCCAUCAUUAAGUUGGGCACUCUAAGUUGACUGCCGGUGACAAACCGGAGGAAGGUGGGGAUGACGUCAAAUCAUCAUGCCCCUUAUGAUUUGGGCUACACACGUGCUACAAUGGACAAUACAAAGGGCAGCGAAACCGCGAGGUCAAGCAAAUCCCAUAAAGUUGUUCUCAGUUCGGAUUGUAGUCUGCAACUCGACUACAUGAAGCUGGAAUCGCUAGUAAUCGUAGAUCAGCAUGCUACGGUGAAUACGUUCCCGGGUCU
rnacentral:rRNA from 1 species